CCAAGGGAUUGGCCGUUUAGAG
rnacentral:siRNA from 1 species